GGCUAGCGCGGGGGCAGCAGUCGGGGGUAGACGGAGGGGGCUGUGGGUGGUGGGGAUUGCUGGGCGUAAAGCUCACGGAGGCGGACGAGAAAGGUGGGGGUGAAAUCCCGGGGCUCAACCUCGGAACGGCCCUCAAAACUAGUGGUCUGGAGUUCGAGAGGGGUGAGUGGAAUUCCGAGUGUAGAGGUGAAAUUCGUAGAUAUUCGGAGGAACACCAGUGGCGAAGGCGGCUCACUGGCUCGAUACUGACGCUGAGGUGCGAAAGCGUGGGGAGCAAACAGGAUUUGAUACCCGAGUAGC
rnacentral:rRNA from 1 species